UACGGAGGGAGCUAGCGUUAUUCGGAAUUACUGGGCGUAAAGCGCACGUAGGCGGCUUUGUAAGUUAGAGGUGAAAGCCUGGAGCUCAACUCCAGAAUUGCCUUUAAGACUGCAUCGCUUGAAUCCAGGAGAGGUGAGUGGAAUUCCGAGUGUAGAGGUGAAAUUCGUAGAUAUUGGGAAGAACACCGGUGGCGAAGGCGGCCAUCUGGACCGGCACUGACGCUGAGGCGCGAAAGCGUGGGGAGCAAACAGGG
rnacentral:rRNA from 1 species